rnacentral:rRNA from 1 species
GACGAACGCUGGCGGCGUGCUUAACACAUGCAAGUCGAACGGAAAGGCCCUGCUUUUGUGGGGUGCUCGAGUGGCGAACGGGUGAGUAACACGUGAGUAACCUGCCCUUGACUUUGGGAUAACUUCAGGAAACUGGGGCUAAUACCGGCUAGGAGCUCCUGCUGCAUGGUGGGGGUUGGAAAGUUUCGGCGGUUGGGGAUGGACUCGCGGCUUAUCAGCUUGUUGGUGGGGUAGUGGCUUACCAAGGCUUUGACGGGUAGCAGGCCUGAGAGGGUGACCGGCCACAUUGGAACUGGGAUACGACCCAGACUCCUACGGGAGGCAGCAGUGGGGAAGAUUGCACAAUGGGCGGAAGCCUGAUGCAGCAACGCCGCGUGCGGGAUGACGGCCUGCGGGUUGUAAACCGCUUUCGCCUGUGACGAAGCGUGAGUGACGGUAAUGGGUAAAGAAGCACCGGCUAACUACGUG